GAUUUCGCUAAUUCUUUUUUUAAAAUAUUCCUUGAAGUACGAGGAUGGUUCUUACGGAGAGAAAAAUUCAAAAAAAAAAAUUUAAAUUUCCUGAAAAAUGAAAUCCCACCAAAAACAUUUUCAUGUAAAAUGUUGCCAAGACGAGAUCAUAUGGCUCGCACUGUCAAAAAGUCAUCAGAUCUCAUGUAGAGCCAAGCUUCUAACUCUACACGCCCUAACUCUACAAGCCCUAACUUCACAAA
rnacentral:misc_RNA from 1 species